GCCUUCGUGGUGUAAUGGUCAGCACACUGAGCCUGUAUUUCAGAGGUCCGUGGUUCGAUCCCCGGCGAAGGCA
rfam:Stegodyphus mimosarum contig42867, whole genome shotgun sequence.